UACAGAGGUGGCAAGCGUUGUUCGGAAUUACUGGGCGUAAAGGGCGCGUAGGCGGUGUGUCACGUCGAUCGUGAAAACUUUCAGCUUAACUGGGAGCUUGCGGUCGAUACGGGCAUCACUGGAGUUCGGCAGGGGAGACUGGAAUUCAAGGUGUAGCGGUGAAAUGCGCAGAUAUCUUGAGGAACACCGGUGGCGAAGGCGGGUCUCUGGGCCGAUACUGACGCUGAGGAGCGAAAGCGUGGGGAGCGAACAGG
rnacentral:rRNA from 1 species